AAGAUUGUGGAUGGUCUCUCUAGUCCAAAUGAUUCACUAAAUAUAAUAAGAUAAAAUACAGUUUUACAUGAUUGGAUGCACCUACUUCCUAGGAUCUUAAAUCAAUAAUAUAUGCAUCUAUCUUCGAUGUCCCCGACACAAUAAUUUAAUGUGCUAUUUGGUUAGUGAAUCCUUUGAAGCCCUUAUCGAAUUUGGAAUAUUCAAAUCCAAAACUUUUCAAAGCCAAGGGUACUUUCAAGAUCUCCUUGAAAGUAUUAAGAUACAA
rnacentral:lncRNA from 1 species